ensembl:lincRNA 2310005A03Rik RIKEN cDNA 2310005A03 gene
GUGUGGACUCGGCGUGUCAAAGGGAACCCGGAUUUUAGCUCCAGCUCUGUGGUUCUUAUUUUUGGGGAGAAAUUGCUCACUGAACCUAGCAUGAGAUUGGCUGGCAGCUGAUUCCCCGGGGAUGUGCCCGUCGUUAUGCAACUGUGCUGGCAUUAUUGAUGAUCAUACCAUGCUUUGUUUAUUAAACCCUGUAGGAAUUAUGAAGAGGAGGCUCCACCCACUUCUAAGAUCAUGAAAAGACAGAGCAAAAAGAAGUGCAAUUCCAUCUCUGCCCAACUGGUGGUACAGUACUCUCCGUGCAUGUAACUCCUUCAGUCCUUGCCACCAUUUCUCAGACCACUGCCAGGAAAUCUUCCCCUCACAGAUGAAAAAAUGUCCAUGAGGUGAUGCAAUCUGUCCAGGAUCACACAGCCAGUCGGUGUCAGAGUCUGUGGAGAAAAAGUGAAAUUCCUCUUUUGGUCCCUUUUGCAAUCCUUGCUGCAGAGUAACCUGCUCGUACCCGCACAUCACACAUUGUGCAGGGUCUGGUUUGUAUGCAUUGGUGCUACAAGUGCCUGUUCUCUUCCUGCGCCUUCCAAGGAGGUCAUGUUCUGCAACUCGCUUUUCCUACUUAGCCCCAAACUUAGAAUCUUUACCAUUUGGGUUUUGGUUGAUUUGAUGGUUGAUUGAUUUUUGUUGUUUUUCAAAACAGGGUUUCUCUGUGUAGCCCUGGUUGUCCUGGAACUCAUUAUGUAGACCAGGCUGGCCUCCAACUCAGAUAUUCGCCUGCCUCUACCUCCUAAGUGCUAAGACUAAAGGUGUGUGCCACCGCACCCACAUCAGCCCCCAUCAUCUUUAAGAUGGGUAAAAUGAUAGCAGCCAGUGAAUAGGGUUGAAAUGAGACCUGCGUGUGAAGCAAACAGGAAGGGUCUCAUAAGCAUGGGGGUAUCUAUUCACAACCCACAUACUAAGAAGUACUGGAUGGCAAAUUAAAAGGUAUCAAUCUGGGGAAAGAUGGCUCAGCGGGUAAGAACACUGACUGCCCUUCCACAGGUCCCGAGUUCAACUUCAAGCAACAUGGUGGCUCAAACCAUCUGUAUAGCCUCCCCCAGCUUGAGCAGGAUGAUUCAGACCUAUGCUGCCACUGAGAAUGAGACCACCUGGGGUGGAGUCUUCUGACCUAGAUGGUUCUAUUGCUCUGUCACCUCUGGCUGCUCUUCUCCAAGACACUGCUACCUGCUGAGAGGCUGAACCUGCCUUCCUGAGAUAGAACCUGGCAAUUGACACCUUACUGCCAACUAGUGCUGUCAGCCUAAUUGCUUACAGGCUGGCGACAGGCAUCAAAGAGUGGGUCUGUGGGAGAUGGGCUUUCCCCCUUUAUAAGCACAGACUCUUAGUAAACAUUGGGCUUUGAUC